UUAAAUUUUUAUUAAACUCACACACAUUUCGUCACGUAAUCCGGGGUGCCUGAAAUAAGGUCGGUGUUACGGGGAAUGUGGAGGCCUAAC
rnacentral:sRNA from 1 species